UAAGAGUUUGAUCCUGGCUCAGAUUGAACGCUGGCGGCAUGCUUUACACAUGCAAGUCGGACGGCAGCACAGGGAAGCUUGCUUCUCGGGUGGCGAGUGGCGAACGGGUGAGUAACAUAUCGGAACGUACCGGGUAGCGGGGGAUAACUGAUCGAAAGAUCAGCUAAUACCGCAUACGUCUUGAGAGGGAAAGCAGGGGACCUUCGGGCCUUGCGCUAUCCGAGCGGCCGAUAUCUGAUUAGCUGGUUGGCGGGGUAAAGGCCCACCAAGGCGACGAUCAGUAGCGGGUCUGAGAGGAUGAUCCGCCACACUGGGACUGAGACACGGCCCAGACUCCUACGGGAGGCAGCAGUGGGGAAUUUUGGACAAUGGGCGCAAGCCUGAUCCAGCCAUGCCGCGUGUCUGAAGAAGGCCUUCGGGUUGUAAAGGACUUUUGUCAGGGAAGAAAAGGCUGUUGCCAAUAUCGGCGGCCGAUGACGGUACCUGAAGAAUAAGCACCGGCUAACUACGUGCCAGCAGCCGCGGUAAUACGUAGGGUGCGAGCGUUAAUCGGAAUUACUGGGCGUAAAGCGGGCGCAGACGGUUACUUAAGCAGGAUGUGAAAUCCCCGGGCUCAACCCGGGAACUGCGUUCUGAACUGGGUGACUCGAGUGUGUCAGAGGGAGGUGGAAUUCCACGUGUAGCAGUGAAAUGCGUAGAGAUGUGGAGGAAUACCGAUGGCGAAGGCAGCCUCCUGGGAUAACACUGACGUUCAUGUCCGAAAGCGUGGGUAGCAAACAGGAUUAGAUACCCUGGUAGUCCACGCCCUAAACGAUGUCAAUUAGCUGUUGGGCAACUUGAUUGCUUGGUAGCGUAGCUAACGCGUGAAAUUGACCGCCUGGGGAGUACGGUCGCAAGAUUAAAACUCAAAGGAAUUGACGGGGACCCGCACAAGCGGUGGAUGAUGUGGAUUAAUUCGAUGCAACGCGAAGAACCUUACCUGGUUUUGACAUGUGCGGAAUCCUCCGGAGACGGAGGAGUGCCUUCGGGAGCCGUAACACAGGUGCUGCAUGGCUGUCGUCAGCUCGUGUCGUGAGAUGUUGGGUUAAGUCCCGCAACGAGCGCAACCCUUGUCAUUAGUUGCCAUCAUUCGGUUGGGCACUCUAAUGAGACUGCCGGUGACAAGCCGGAGGAAGGUGGGGAUGACGUCAAGUCCUCAUGGCCCUUAUGACCAGGGCUUCACACGUCAUACAAUGGUCGGUACAGAGGGUAGCCAAGCCGCGAGGCGGAGCCAAUCUCACAAAACCGAUCGUAGUCCGGAUUGCACUCUGCAACUCGAGUGCAUGAAGUCGGAAUCGCUAGUAAUCGCAGGUCAGCAUACUGCGGUGAAUACGUUCCCGGGUCUUGUACACACCGCCCGUCACACCAUGGGAGUGGGGGAUACCAGAAGUAGGUAGGGUAACCGCAAGGAGUCCGCUUACCACGGUAUGCUUCAUGACUGGGGUGAAGUCGUAACAAGGUAGCCGUAGGGGAACCUGCGGCUGGAUCACCUCCUUU
rnacentral:rRNA from 1 species